rnacentral:lncRNA from 1 species
UCUCGCCCCAGCUCAUCCGGCAUUGGCCGAUCAUCGACCGGUCAUCGGCCACCGCGCCAACCACUGGUCUCUGGCGACGGCACCACUGUCUGCGGUGGCCGGAGAAGAAAAAUUUUUGGAUCUGCGCCUUUCGAAACCGCUAAACCCAAAUCCAACCCCGAGACUUUCAGAAUACCGAUGCAAAAGCCUUAAAUCUUCAAGAAACCUUUCGGUUUCUGGUCGUCUGCAGCGAUCUAAGUUCCAACGGAGGUUGUCCCUUUCUUUUUUCUAUUUAUUUUCUUCGUAUAUAGAUCGAAAUAUAUGAUAAAAAACUGUAGAUUUAAAGAAAAAGAAAAAAAUAAAUGUCAACCUUAGAUCGAUUUCUGCUCUCUCGAUGUUGAACUGUCUUUUUGCUGUGAAAAUAAUUAUUUUUCUUAUUGAUUUUUUUGGAUCCUUUUUACAGUGUAUCAAUGGCUUUUUUAUAGGCAUAAUGAAAAAAUAUAAAGAAAGAAAUAAAUCUGUUCAUAUUGAUUUGAUUUUGCAAAUAUUUGAUUCUUCUUUCCAUAUACUGUUUGGUUUCUUUUCUUGACAUGCAGGUGAAGCGGGGAUGCGGCUAAGUGCGAGGCUUGUGGUUGCGGCGCUGACACUUUCCUCAGAAACCCUAGGGUUUCUGCCACUGCUUUGGGCCACUAGAUUUGGGCCUCUGUUUUACUUCAAUUUGGGCCAUGUAUUCUAGGCCAAUUGUUUUGUUUUUGGAUUUAGCUUUGUAAAAAAAAAAACUGGACUGUUUAUUAAGGGCCGGGUAAAAUUUAGGCAUUACAGUAAUGAUAUUAACUUUUUAGUGUUUAAUUCGAGUUUCA